rnacentral:rRNA from 1 species
GAUCAACGCUGGCGGCGUGCUUAACACAUGCAAGUCGAACGAAGUUUUUCCUUCGGGAGAAACUUAGUGGCGGACGGGUGAGUAACGCGUGGGUAACCUGCCCUGUACAGGGGGACAACAGCUGGAAACGGCUGCUAAUACCGCAUAAGCCCUUAGCACUGCAUGGUGCAUAGGGAAAAGGAGCAAUCCGGUACAGGAUGGACCCGCGUCUGAUUAGCCAGUUGGCAGGGUAACGGCCUACCAAAGCGACGAUCAGUAGCCGAUCUGAGAGGAUGUACGGCCACAUUGGGACUGAGACACGGCCCAGACUCCUACGGGAGGCAGCAGUGGGGAAUAUUGCACAAUGGAGGAAACUCUGAUGCAGCGACGCCGCGUGAGUGAAGAAGUAUUUCGGGAUGUAAAGCUCUAUCAGCAGGGAAGAAAAUGACGGUACCUGACUAAGAAGCACCGGCUAAAUACGUG